rnacentral:rRNA from 1 species
GGAGUUAGCCGGUGCUUCUUCUGUGAGUGAUGUCCUUCCUGCCGGUUAUUGACCCGCAGGCCUUCUUCCUCACUGAAAGUGCUUUACAACCCGAAGGCCUUCUUCACACACGCGGCAUGGCUGGAUCAGGGUUGCCCCCAUUGUCCAAUAUUCCCCACUGCUGCCUCCCGUAGGAGUCUGGGCCGUGUCUCAGUCCCAGUGUGGCUGAUCAUCCUCUCAGACCAGCUACGGAUCGUCGCCUUGGUGAGCCGUUACCUCACCAACCAGCUAAUCCGACAUAGGCUCAUCCGAUAGCGCGAGGCCCGAAGGUCCCCCGCUUUCCCCCGUAGGGCGUAUGCGGUAUUAGCCUGGGUUUCCCCAGGUUAUCCCCCACUACCGGGCAGAUUCCUAUGCAUUACUCACCCGUCCGCCGCUCGCCACCAGGGAGCAAGCUCCCCGUGCUGCCGCUCGACUUUCAUGUGUUAGGCCUGCCGCCAGCGUUCAAUCUGAGCCAUGAUCAAACUCUGA